AACCUUGGCAGCCCCUCUAGGUGAUUCCUCUUCCUGAGUGGCUCCAAUGCUUAGCAAACUGAGCCUCUGAGAAGUUGACUGAAGGGGCCGCUUCCAC